rnacentral:sRNA from 1 species
AUACAUGAAUUUUGUUUUCUAAGA